AUACGGAGGGUGCAAGCGUUACUCGGAAUCACUGGGCGUAAAGCGCGCGCAGGCGGUCUUUUAAGUUGGAUGUGAAAGCCUACGGCUCAACCGUAGAACUGCAUCCAAAACUAUUAGACUAGAGUGUGGGAGAGGAAGAUGGAAUUAGUUGUGUAGGGGUAAAAUCCGUAGAGAUAACUAGGAAUACCAAAAGCGAAGGCAAUCUUCUGGAACACUACUGACGCUGAGGCGCGAAAGCGUGGGGAGCGAACAGGAUUAGAAACCCUAGUAGUCC
rnacentral:rRNA from 1 species